AGCAGCUUGCUGCUUCGCUGACGAGUGGCGGACGGGUGAGUAAUGUCUGGGAAACUGCCUGAUGGAGGGGGAUAACUACUGGAAACGGUGGCUAAUACCGCAUAACGUCGCAAGACCAAAGAGGGGGACCUUCGGGCCUCUUGCCAUCAGAUGUGCCCAGAUGGGAUUAGCUUGUUGGUGAGGUAACGGCUCACCAAGGCGACGAUCCCUAGCUGGUCUGAGAGGAUGACCAGCCACACUGGAACUGAGACACGGUCCAGACUCCUACGGGAGGCAGCAGUGGGGAAUAUUGCACAAUGGGCGCAAGCCUGAUGCAGCCAUGCCGCGUGUAUGAAGAAGGCCUUCGGGUUGUAAAGUACUUUCAGCGGGGAGGAAGGUGUUGUGGUUAAUAACCGCAGCAAUUGACGUUACCCGCAGAAGAAGCACCGGCUAACUCCGUGCCAGCAGCCGCGGUAAUACGGAGGGUGCAAGCGUUAAUCGGAAUUACUGGGCGUAAAGCGCACGCAGGCGGUCUGUCAAGUCGGAUGUGAAAUCCCCGGGCUCAACCUGGGAACUGCAUUCGAAACUGGCAGGCUUGAGUCUUGUAGAGGGGGGUAGAAUUCCAGGUGUAGCGGUGAAGUGCGUAGAGAUCUGGAGGAAUACCGGUGGCGAAGGCGGCCCCCUGGACAAAGACUGACGCUCAGGUGCGAAAGCGUGGGGAAGCAACAGGAUUAGAUACCCUGGUAGUCCACGC
rnacentral:rRNA from 1 species